CCGCCAGAGAACAACGAGCUAACGCUUAAAACUCAAAGGACUUGGCGGCAUUCCACACCACCCUAGAGGGACCCGUCACAUAAUCGAUAACCCACGAUGCACCUCACCCCCCUUUCCCGCCUAUAUACCGCCGUCGCCAGCCCAUCUUUUAAAGGAAACUGAAUGAGCUCAACAGCCUUACUACACUAACACGACAGGUCAAGGUGUAGCUAAUAAGGUGGCAAAUGACGAGCCACAUUGCCCACAAAGCCAAACUAAAAUUAUAAUGAAACACGUACUUUAAGGUGAAUUUAACAGUAAGGGGGGCAAGAAAACCCGCCUAAAGACUGCUCUGGAACGUGCACACACCGCCCGUCACCCUCAA
rnacentral:rRNA from 1 species